UUGCAGCUGCUGCAUUUGGCCUUGUUCUCGUUUGCUGUAACCAAAGACUUUGCCACCCUGCUAUUAUUGCAGUACUUUCCAUCCCAUUAUAGCAUUACCAUCCCCAUUUCCCCAGUAGGAAAACUGAUUCACUGGCAGGGGUUUAGUGGGCAUGGUGGGGAUGGGGUGAUGGCUGGCCUGGAUGAUCUUAGCUGUCUUCUACAACCUUAAUGAUUCUAUGACUUGUCUGGAGUUAGAAAGGCCAGUGGAAGUGCUGGCAGAUCCUUAAUUUAUUUAAACACUCUUGAGACUUGUGCAGGUGCAAACUGUGUUUGCACAUUUCACGUGUUAUCCCCAGGGAGCAAUCCCAGUGCCGUACCCAAGGCUAGAAUUGAGCCAGAUGUGCUUAUGUACCUAUAAUAGGAGGGCUUGCAAUGCUUUUUCAAUUCCAGAUGCUUGCUUUGAGAGACACAUUUGGAUUUGCACCUCCUGAGCUUGGGUACUUUCCUCUUGGAAGCAUUUCUUAUCAGUAACAAUGGCAAGGAGACCAAUGAUAUCUGUUCUGUAGUCCUUGCAAUCCAGCAUGGUCAGACCCCAGCCACCCCCCAAAGCAAUAACCUUGGUGUGAUAGCUCCCAUGGGAAGCAGCAUAGAUAACUGUACACCUGCUGGGGUCUACAGCCCAGAAAUGUCCCAUAUUUUUGGAUAAUGAUUUUACACAGUCAUUGCUGCACCUACCCAACAGCUAGGACAAACCUGCCUUGCUUCAGGUAUAUGGUGUGUCAAUAUCUCUGCUGAGAAAUGCUUAUUUCUCCUCAUUUAAGAGGAGGUGUCAUAGAUUCUUGAGACACUGGAGAGAGAAAAGCAAUCACAAACCCAUGGAUUGGGUGAAGACACUCUAGGAAAAAGCCCUCCCCAUGCAUGAAAGCUUAUCUCCUUCUGGUCCCCAGUGAGAUACAGUAAUAGGAGAACUCAGAGAAGUUCUUACCCAGAGAAGUUGUGGAUAUCCCAUCCCUGGAGGUGUUCAAGGUCGGGUUGGAUGGGGCCCUGGGCAGCCUGAUCUGGUGCCUGAUCUAGUGGUUGGCAGCCCCCCUGAUGGUGGGGUGCUGGGACUGGAUGAUCUCAGAGGUCAAUGCCAACCCAAGCCAUUCUAAGAUUCUAUGACCUCACAGCCACAUCUGUGCCUUCCAGACACAUUCACAUCUCUGUAGAAACCAAGGGGAUUUAUGUGCAUAACGGCCUUCUUGUUUCUGGCCAAAGCCAGGGCUUUUACAAAGAUUUUCUUCUAAUUGGCUUUCAGCACAAUGCCAUCCAAAGCCCAUUGGGCACCCUGGGAAAAGGAUCGUGAAACUCUGGGCUCUUGAUGGAUUUGAGUAUCCAAGCACAUUGCCCCAGAGGACUGACUCUGCUCAGGUCUCUAAAAACUGACUUAGUUAACACCAGAAAGAUGAGAAAAUCUUUCCCUGCUGAAACAUGGCUUAAAUGGCAGCGAUUGUGCUCUUCUCGAUGGUGUUGGGGAUGGUGAUUGUGGGGUAUUGGGGCAGGAAAAGCUCUAUGAUUAAGUGAUUGAACUGAAGAAAAGCAUUUUGGGACCUAUCUGAAAGAUAAGGACAGAGAGGAGGGAUCUCUCCAUUCUGAACCUUAAGAGGAAUCUGGAAGUUGAAGACGAAAGAGAAAGGAAGGAGCCCCAUGUGAUAGGACGCAGUUACACUCCCACAGGGUUCCCCCCCUGCACCAUGUAUGAGUCUUUUCUCUGCUUGGAAAGCAGGAUGGGGCUGUGAGGUAGCACAGUGCGUGCUCUGGUCUCACUCCUAUGUGGACAACAGCAUUCACCUAGUAUGUAUCUCUUUUCCUGGGACCAGGAAGACCUGUUUCUCCAGCCCAUUAACCAUCUCUGGUCCCGCUUGGGAUGGUGAGUUAAAGUCUAUGACUAGAAACCCCUAAAGUAUUUAUUUGACACCUUGACCCUUCCCAGAGCAGAUCCUCAGUCCCCAUACCCAUUGGGUGGCAGGUAGACAGAAUAGUUCAGCAGCUAUUCAUUCUUGUCAUGAAAAUAGGUGCAAUCUCCAGCCAGCGUGCCAAGCCAAUUCAGCUGAAACCUGCACAAUUGCCCUGAGCUGAAUCAAUAGCCCCCAGCUUCAUUGCUGGAACAGGUCACCCGCUUAUCAAGGGAGAGCUGAAAUCAUUCAUAGGAUGCUUGUGGUUUCUCUGUCCUUGUGAUGGCUUUCCUGAACUCUGUCCAAAGCAGAGACAUGUCAUUUAGAUUCUAUUAAAACAAAGCCUUCCAUUAAAGGUGCACGUACGCACACGCAGGGAGAGAAGGAAGGAAGAGAAACGAAGGAGGGAGCUGGGUGUCCUUGAGGUCAUGCAAUCUAACAAAUCACAGCAAAGCCAUUAACACCAUGAAAUGACAGGAGGCAAAACAAGGCAGAAUGUUAAGUGCCCAGUGCUACCAAAUCCAUCAGCUGCCCCCAUUAUUCUGAUGGUGUGUCGGUGCAGCGUAUAAUCAUCGAAAUUGGUAUUCUGCUGCAAAUCAUCCCUCUCCCACUUUCAGUCUAGGAUGAGUUUUGCUGGUCAUGAGGGAUCAAGGAGAAAGCAUCGAGCCCGCUCAUCAGAGUCAUAAGACUUCAAGUGUGAUGCAGUUUUUGGAUCCCUAAGCCCAGAGGUACAUCUUGCUUUCGGGUGGUUGCCAGUAACCCCAUGGUCAUUCCCUGGCUCUCAGAAAGACACCAACAUUGCGAUCUCUACUUGAAACACCUCCAGGGUGCAGGUUGGCAAGAUCCAGGUAGCAGAGUCCAGACCAAGCGUGAUGCUAUUGACAUUUCACAGACAAAAGAGCCAGCAGGUAUCAAAGCUCUCAUCUGAAAGAUGAUGGAGAACAAGCACGUAGCUGACGGGCAUCCGAAAGGACAAUCAUGCCACUUUCAGUUGUGUUCCCCCCACCUUCAAGCCCAGCCACAAGCUAUUCCCAGCCUGCUGUAGGACAUCUGAAGGGUCCAGCAUUAUCAUCAGCAUUUGGGCAACCUGGGCUAGUGCCAGAUCUGGAGGUUGGUGGCCCUGCCUGUGGCAGGGGGAUUAGAACAUGAUGAUCCCUGGGGUCCCUUCCAACCCAAGCCGUUCUAUGAUUCUACAAUCAGGAUGUUUGGGAUAACCCAGUGUCAGUCCUCCAAGCUCUGGUGAAGAUCCUGACCUCCUGCUGAAAAUACAGCAGAGCUCAAUUUAGCUGUGCUCAAGGGUCCUUUCCCUAACAAGACAGAUCAGAAAAGCCAUUUUCUGAUGUUUUUUUUUUUUUCUGAAGUUGAAGGGAGAAAACUCUCCAGCCAAUUGUUUUGUGGGUUUAUUUUAAACUGUUGUGCAUGUCACUCAGUGCCAAGGAUUUCAAAGUGUGUCAUCGCUGAUUUUCCUUUGUCAUUAACUGCCAGGUUUGGGGGGUGGUUCAGAGCUGAGCUGGAGGAAGAUCGGAGGCAAAGCUGACUUGAUUAAGGCCGUGUUUUGAAACCUUUCUGCAUCAUGUUUAAAUCGAUUUUCUUCUGCUUCUAUUCUAAAAGUGGAAGGAAAAAAAAAAAGGAGCUCCAUCCAAGGGAACGUCGAAGGGUACAGAGUUAUUUUCACUGCUGGUAUAAAAAUGAAAAACAUGCAAAGACCAGACUGCAUGAGUGAUGCUAAUAAUGUGCCCAACAACAGAGCCCCACGGAGAUGGACGUUAAUACCUUGAUUCAGUCCUGAGAUGCUUGCAGUACAAAAGCCUCACGCCUGCAAAAUCCUCCUAGGAAAGCCUCUGUGAGGAGACAGUGUGGUGGAAAAAGCAUGCCAAGAACGAUUUGAAACACAAAGAAUGACUGAAGUUGGUCUUGUAGUCAGAGUUUUCUUCCUGGGAAGGGCAGGCUGGGGGAGCAAAUCCUACAAAAUGAAGCAGAAGAAAGAAAGUUUGAAAAAGGCAGCUGUUAUUUUUAUGCCCAGGGGAAAAUUAAGCUGUUUAUCCAAGCUGUGGCUCGUUUUGGAUUUGCUAAGCAAAGCCAGCAGAAUGGCUUGGCAGGUUGGACCUUGGCCUUGGAGCAUCUUGCGGACUGCUUGGUGUUCGAUCGUGGCUUUAUUCCAAUGUCCAGGUGCCUCCUGGAUAACACCUCUACUUGCUGUCCAUGUGUCUGAUCUGACACGUGGUCAUACCUAUGGCCGAAGACCUUUGGAGAGCAGGAGUGGUCUUGAUGGGGAGCUAGAGACCCUCUGUGCCAGCACCUCCAUGGCAGGUGCUAUUACAUACCUCCUACAGCAGGAAAAAUGACGUUAGCAGAGUUUUGCUAUAAAACCGGGGGGAUAAACCCACACCUUUCUAAAAAAUGAGUCCAAAGGCUGCAUUGAGUUGAUUCUUACUGGGAACGGAGGUGUGGCUAGUCAUAAAGUUCAUCCAAUGGUGCUAAGAUUUUCUUGUUCCUCCACUGACUGCAGGGUUAACUGUCUUCUUGUGGUUAAAGGAGAUGCUGGCACCAGACGUUUCCUCAUCUAGACAUUUAGAGGUACCUCUCAGAUCAGCCUUUUUGCAUCAGUGUUAUCUAAAAUGACCUAAGGACUCCCCAGUCUUCAUCCAUUCUCUACUAACCACAGCCAGAAGAGAAGGUUCAAGAAGGAACAGUCACCGUUUGAAGAGAUGAAGAUAAAGGUUCAAGAAGGGACUAUCUGUGGUUGAAGGGAUCAAUGUGAAGGUUCAAGGAGGAACCAUCCUUGGCUGAAGGGAUGAAGUUAAAGGUUCAAGAAGGGACCAUCCUCAAAAAGAUGAAAUAAUAGCUUUCUUUCCAGCCUAGUCCCCAAAGCUGUAUCUGUACAGGUGAACUGAACAGUGGAUGGAACUCAAGCUGCCUAACUGUUACUACCUCCUGGCACGCAUUUGGCCUUCUCAUAGCCCUAUAUAAUCCAUGCGUGGGUCAGUCACUCACACGGCCCACGAAUUGGCUGAUGGGCGCUUUGUUCUGCAGACAGGAGAAUUUAAUAACACAGAUGAAGACAGCUUUGUGCUGUUGGCCUCAGGACCUCCAAAACAUUCCCAAACACAUUUGAUCUAUGAGCACGGACAAACACACGUGAUCUGUGAGUACGGACAUGACCAAAGCUCCUUGCUCUGCAAAGCUUAAGGAUCGUGAAGUGCCUCAUUCACUGGAGGCAGCUUUGGACCGAAACACCUUUUCUCCUUUUUAAUGUAAACCUAAUAAAGACCAAAACGAUCCCUUUAGGAACACAGGACAAGCUUUCUCCACUGCUCCAAACAUUGCUCAAGCUUGCACUACUUCUUCAUUUAUUUCUCUGAGACACAGGAGUGCUCCAUCUCUAAGCUCACUUUGUACUUCACAGUGCUGGGACUUGAAAGACGCUUCUUGAAGAAAUACUCGGAAAUUAGAGAGAUAAGGAGUCAGCUUUAGUCAACACUUCAGUGACAGCACUCAACAGGACCCCAGCCUUUAGCAUGUGUGUAUAAUAUUAUAAAUUUAUUUCUCUCUGUAUAUAUAGAAACGUUGACGCAGUGAAUUAAAAUCAAGCUGUGCUCUGCACUUUCAUUUUUAAUGGGACCAUUCUUGGCUCCAAGGAGGGAGCUAUCAGCCCCCUGAACAGCAGGACGGGAGGGAGAGAGCAAUAGUCUUCUGCCAAAGACAAAUAAAGUGAAAGGAAAGGGGCUGGAAAAUGAUGAAUGGUUCAACUUGCUCGGCUGAAGGAGCCUCUUCAUUAGCCGCUUCACUGCUUUUUUUGCCUCCUUUGUUUGUUUGUUUGGUUUUUUUGUUGUUCCCCCUUUGAAAGUGCCUGCAGCUGUGUGUGUCCAGGAGUGCACUGUCUGUGCGUGGCUGCCUGGUCCCGCUUUGAGCCCCUGUCCCCCCCUCAUCAAUCCCAUUCCAGCACGAAAUGAGAAAAACAAAAGGAAGAUGCUUUCAUACUGACAAUGUCACCUCGUGCUGCAUCCCAGUGGACAAGGACACCCUGAAAAUGGUGCACCUCGAAAUUCAGGCUUCAGCCAAGAAGGACAAUUCCGGUCCCACUGAGUUCUCCAGUAUAUGGAAGCUUUUUAAACAUGGGAGACUCUCCCCUGCCCCUCCGGCAUUCUGCCCUCUGGGGUGAGUGGGCAAGACAAGACACGGGUGGGACAGCAGCAGAUGGUUCCAUUUAACAAAUAAGGGGAACUGAGGCAUGGAGAGAGGCAAUGACUUGCCCAAAAGUAAGGAGAUCUUCAUCGCAAGUGUGGUGGGUGGCAGGACUUCUGAGCACUCUGAUCAAGCUGCAGAUGUUCCUGUUCCUUGCAGGGCAGUUGGACUAGAUGGCCUUUAAAGGUCCAAUUCAAACCAUUCUGUGAUUCCCUGAUUCUAAUCCUGUCCCAGUGUUCUGGCUGGGUCUACCUGUGACCAUCAGGGUUGCCACAAUGGAGAUGAAGCCAGCUGUAGCCUCCUUUCUACAUUUACUUGAUAUUUUUCCCUACACUGUCACUCCUCCUUGGCCACCUCAAGGAGCAGAACACCCCCAAAAUUUGUCAAUGAUUGGACUUAAUGAACUUGGUGGUCUUUUCUAACCUUAAUAAUUCUAUGAUUCUAAACAAGCCCUACCAGACCAGAAGGAUCUUCUUCCCAGGAUCAUGCUGUGCCUGUCAUAUCACCUGGAUGUUUCAUUCCAAGGAGGGCAUCAUGUCAAUAGGAAGAUGUUAAGACACCUCCGUGCACACUCCUACGCUCCCUAUUCAGCCCUGCUUAGAGCAAAAGCAUCCAGAAAGCCCAUAGGCCCCUACUAAUUUCAUAGCAGGCUGGAUCACAAACUCUUAUUUUUGCUGUUUGCAAAGCAGCUGGUGUGCAGGGACCCCAGAAGUGUUGGCAAGAAUGCUAAUGGGGAUGAGACCCAGCAAGAGAAGAGAAGUUGUGCAGGGAAAGAGAUGGCUCACUCAAGGUAACCCAGCUCUGCUUCUCCCUCACUUCAUUUGCACAAGACCUGGAGCAUCUCAUUAUGUGGGAUAUUAUGAAAAAAAUAUUCUCUGAAAGAGUGUAAUGCACCAGCACAGGCUGCCCAGGGAGGUGGUGGGGUCACUGUCCCUGGAGGUGUCCAAGAACUGUGGAGAUGUGGCAUUGAGGGACGUGGUCAGUGGCCGCGGUGGGAUAAGUUGGGGUUGGGCUUGGGGAUCUGAGAGGUCUUCUCCAAAAUUAAUGAUUCUGUGAGUUCUAUGAUCUCAGUGCAGGAGGAAGAAGACUGAUAAAUCAGACCAAAACUGGGGAGAACAUUUGGGUCACUGGUAGGAAGAUGCAAAAAGAUGUUCCUUGGGUCCUCCAUCCCUAGACAGCUGAAGAACAUAGUGGCAAUUAUACAGGACAGAGCAAAGAGCUGAUGCUAGAAUCCAUCAGGAUCAGGCUAAAAUCUGAAAGCAGGUGGGUUUUUUACUCCACGUCCCCCAGCUGCUGUUGGAAAUCAAAUACAGGGCUAGGUGAACCCAUGGGGUGGCUCAUACUGUCUUCCAGCACACUACUGGAAAGCAAGAACAUGAUUGCUCCCUCCAGCAGAGUAAAGCUGUUGAAUUUGAUGUAGACACUUCCUCAUGAGCAAGUCAGGAUGUUUUGUGUUUGCCAUUUCUAUCUUGCAGUCCUGCAAGCUCUCCCACAUGGCAAGCACAACUACCAGUGGAUAAUAAGUGCAAAAGGACUGCUCAAGUUACUCCUCAAGCAUUAGUCAGAGCCUCUCAGUUUCAGCCCUGGGUCAAGUGCUCUCUGAAGGAGGGGAGAGUCAGGACCUUCCCAUAACUACAGCCUCAGGUUCUCCCUGGUGGGGAAACAGCCAGGCUCGACCUUCCAAGAGGUGCAGUGUUUGGUGGACACUGUCCCAAGAGACGUCCAUGCCAAUGUCAAAAAAUGCAGUUGGGCUUAAAGACAGCGUGCUUGCUGGAGUGUUGGUCUGCGCCUUGAAGUGCUUACGGGGACAGAUGUGAUAUUUGAGUUGGACGAUCCAGCAGGAAAAGUGGGACAAGUCCCAGAAGCAUCAAGGGGAUGAAGGUAAAAAAAAAAGAGGGGGGGGGGGGGGGGGGGGGGGCGGGGGUGAGGUUUGAGGUUUUCUUUUCCUUUCUGCUGCCAUUUCCCAAUGAAAAUGAUGAACUUCACGCUCAGUGAGUCAGCAGAGGCAGCUGGUGCCCAGCACAUACUUUUAAAGGGAUCGGAGAUGAUGGGGCUGGAGGGAAGAGAACAAGGAGGAAAAACUGCUCUUGAGGCUCUCCUCCCUGGAAUAUCCCAGUAGCAUUCAGAGGGAAGGCUGAGCACAGGGUUUCUUGGUCUUCUGCUGCCACCUACUGUCAACCCAACACCUCAAAACCCUCUCUGGAUGCAUGAGUUUCUCUAAGAAGGAUGCAAGUCCUGCCCGUCCCAUGGACCACGAGCCACAUAUUAUAGCUGUACGUGCAUCAGGGUGGACAUCAUCCAUUUGCAAUCCCUGUGACCAUCCCAGGUUGGUCAGAGCUAGCAAACAGAUUGUCAUGCCCUGUCCCCAAAUUAUAACCCCUUCGUAUGGUUCUGCACCAGCGUGCCUCGAGGAAAAGCCACUAGUACCUGCUAAGACAUCUCCCAGGGAGAUAAAUGGUCUUUGAGAAGAGUAAAAACAUCAUUUGCUGCUGAGCUAGCACGACCUUGUAGGACCCCUGAGAACAGAAACUGAAGUUUCUAUCAACUGCUUUCCGGCCUGAAUAACCUAAAUUUAGUCCCCAAAUGUGCAUGCCCUGCUUCUUCAAUACUGGUUAACUUUGGCAGCUGUAGAGGUAGAAAUCCCCACUGCUCCCCACUUGAAACAGGAGGAGACAAAUGGAGUGGGAUGGCAUUAAAAGGCAAGACUCCAAGGCAUUGCACCAGCUUGAUGCAAUCACCCAAGUGCCCACCCCAAAGUAAGGUGGCUUUCUGACUGUAGCAUCGACAUCCCUCACUUUGUCAUUAAGCUAAACGGUCCAAGUAAUUAAGAAAAUGUUUUCCAAUCCCUUCAUCAUUGCAGCGACUUCUCCAAACACUCUCCAACUGUUUAACCCUCAUCUAACACCUACACAGAGAAGAUACAGCAGCCCGGUAAUACUGAGGAUAACAAAACACCAGAACAGUUUCCUGAGGGCU